UGAUGUGUGUUUGACCAGCAUGCGCGCGAGUGAGCGUGUGCGGGUGUGAGCAUGCGCCCUGCGGGCGUGGCUCCCGGCUCCCCGGGCCCUACUCCUGCCCGCUCCCUGCACGGCCUGCUCAGCCUACUCGCUGCCCUCGGAUCUUCUGAGCCCUCUCUCGGAGCAAGGGAGACACAGCACCAUGAUUAUAGGCUCUGUGGUUUGUGUUGUCUCCUUCAGUUUUAUGAGGAAUGCUGGAGAUGCCCAAGAUCCACGCCGUUAUCAGCCCUGCUCUGCCGCUCCUCCAGCUGCCUGGAGCUCCUCGUGGUUCUGAGCAUGCUCUUCAUGCCCUCGUCACUUUGCAUAUGCUGUUCCCUCUGCCUGGAUCUCUCUUCCCUCCUGUUGUCCACCUGAUACACUACUACCCAUCCUCAGAGAUGCCCUUCCCAUGCCACCUGCUCUGUGAAGUCUCUCAUCCCCAGGCAGGGCGGCCCCUUGGGAACCUCUGUGAGGACAGUGCCUCUCUGUCUCCCACUCCAGCAGAGUCCCUCGGGGCGGACAGUGUAUUCGCAUCCGUCUCCCCACCCCACUUCAUCUUUCUUCAUGGCACAAUCUGCCUGAAACAACAGUGUGUAAUUGUUUGUCCAUAAGUCUUGUGUCUUCCCCAUGGAAUGUGAGUUCCAUUGGAAAAAGAACUCUGUUGUAUUUUGGCUUUUUAAACUGCUGAUUCUCAUGUGCUCGGCAUCACACUGGCCCAUAGUAUAUGGAUUGCUUUUCUAUAGCUCCCGUACCACACUGAGUGUCUAAAUAGUACAAAUGUAUUGUCUUACAGUUCUGGAGGUCACAAGUCCGAAAGGGCUUCACUGGGUGGAAGUCGUGGCUUUGGGAGGGCUGUGUUCUUUUCUGGAGACUAAGGGAGAAUCUAUUUCCUUACCUUUUCUAGCUUCUAGAAACCACCCACGCUCUUUGGUUCAUGGCCCCCUUCCUCCAUCUUCAAAGCCAGCAAUAUUACAUCUCUCUGGUCAUUCUUCCAUUGCCACAUCUCCCUCUAACAGAGCUUGGAAAGUCCAAGUUUAGGGACCCAUGGGACGAGGUUAGACCGACCUGGAUAAUCUCUCCAACUCAAUGUUCUAAAUCAUAUUUGCAAAGUCCCUUUUGCCACGUAAGGUAACACACUCACAGUUUCUAGAGAUUAGGAUAAUGACAGUUUGGGGGCCAUUGCUCUAUCAUAGCAGGCUCCUGAGAGGCUGUCCAGGCAAUGUGAUUACAGCAAGGAUACACAUUAGUUCAUUUCUCCUGAGCAAAUCUUCCCCAGAGGUUGCCAACCUUGAUGCUGCACUAAAUGUCACUAGCACAUUAAACCUGGAUAUCGUAAAGUA